UACGUAGGGGCCGAGCGUUGUCCGGAGUUAUUGGGCGUAAAGCGCGCGCAGGCGGCCUCGCGCGCCGACGUGAAAGCCCCCGGCUUAACCGGGGAGGGUCGUUGGGGACGGCGGGGCUUGAGGGCGGGAGAGGUCGGUGGAAUUCCCGGUGUAGUGGUGAAAUGCGUAGAGAUCGGGAGGAACACCUGUGGCGAAGGCGGACCGACUGGGCCGACCCGUG
rnacentral:rRNA from 1 species